rnacentral:rRNA from 1 species
GACGAACGCUGGCGGCGUGCUUAACACAUGCAAGUCGAACGGAAAGGCCCUGCUUUUGUGGGGUGCUCGAGUGGCGAACGGGUGAGUAACACGGGAGUAACCUGCCCUUGACUUUGGGAUAACUUCAGGAAACUGGGGCUAAUACCGGAUAGGAGCUCCUGCUGCAUGGUGGGGGUUGGAAAGUUUCGGCGGUUGGGGAUGGACUCGCGGCUUAUCAGCUUGUUGGUGGGGUAGUGGCUUACCAAGGCUUUGACGGGUAGCCGGCCUGAGAGGGUGACCGGCCACAUUGGGACUGAGAGACGGCCCAGAGUCCUACGGGAGGCAGCAGGGGGGAGUAUUGCACAAUGGGCGGAAGCCUGAUGCAGCAACGCCGCGUGCGGGAUGACGGCCUUCGGGUUGUAAACCGCUUUCGCCUGUGACGAAGCGUGAGUGACGGUAAUGGGUAAAGAAGCACCGGCUAACUACGUG